rnacentral:tRNA from 4 species
GGCGGCAUGGCCGAGUGGUGAGGCGCCGGACUGCAAAUCCGUUAACCCCGGUUCGAUUCCGGGUGCCGCCU